rnacentral:rRNA from 1 species
AACGAACGCUGGCGGCAUGCCUAACACAUGCAAGUCGAACGAGACCUUCGGGUCUAGUGGCGCACGGGUGCGUAACGCGUGGGAACCUGCCCUUAGGUUCGGAAUAACUCCCCGAAAGGGGUGCUAAUACCGGAUAACGUCUUCGGACCAAAGAUUUAUCGCCUUUGGAUGGGCCCGCGUUGGAUUAGCUAGUUGGUAGGGUAAAAGCCUACCAAGGCGACGAUCCAUAGCUGGUCUGAGAGGAUGAUCAGCCACACUGGGACUGGGACACGGCCCAGACUCCUACGGGAGGCAGCAGUGGGGAAUAUUGGACAAUGGGCGAAAGCCUGAUCCAGCAAUGCCGCGUGAGUGAUGAAGGCCUUAGGGUUGUAAAGCUCUUUUACCCGGGAUGAUAAUGACAGUACCGGGAGAAUAAGCUCCGGCUAACUCCGUG